UCACGCAGACAAGGAUCUGAAGACUAUUUUCUCUUUCCCCGGCAGGUGUUUUAGUCAAAAUGCCAACGAAUUCAAGAGAUGAGAGUGAUAGCACUGAAAAUACUUCUUCCUUUGAAACGAAGCCUGCAAAGUGGGAAUAGCGCAAAAAGGACUGAAACUCAAGAUUUUUCACACUCCCUCUCUUCCAACAAGGACUGAUGGAGACCAGAAAAGGCUCCAAACUACUACAUUGCAACUCACAACAUACUAAUGUGGACUGAACAGAACCAAGAUUCAGGUGUUCAAGACCCAACAGAAGGUGUUUUACCCUCUUGGCCACUUUGUUGGAGGAUUGCUGCACGAGGAGCAAUCUCAUUUUUCAAAAGCACAUCCAGCCAAAGGAAUUUAUUAGUAUGCAGAAGAAAACAGGAGUUGAAAACAUCCGUGGAGUUCUCGUUAUUUCUUGUUGUUUUGUUAAUAAUGCAUCCAUUACUUUUCACAUUACCUGAAUUAUGGACAAUUGUUCUGUCUCUCCAGAACAAAUGUAACACAGUAGAGGGGGAUCUAAGGCUACAGUGCAAUUUGUGACCCCAUUCAAUAGCUUUAUGGCCAUAAGGAAACAACUCCAUGUCCCUCUCCGCUCUCAAAGUCCCGAUUUGAAAAGCUGAAACACCACCACUUUGACAGCUUUCCCCAACAGAGGUAU